rnacentral:rRNA from 1 species
GAGUUUGAUCCUGGCUCAGAUUGAACGCUGGCGGCAGGCUUAACACAUGCAAGUCGAACGAUGAUUAUCUAGCUUGCUAGAGAUGAUUAGUGGCGGACGGGUGAGUAACAUUUAGGAAUCUGCCUAGUAGUGGGGGAUAGCUCGGGGAAACUCGAAUUAAUACCGCAUACGACCUACGGGUGAAAGGGGGCGCAAGCUCUUGCUAUUAGAUGAGCCUAAAUCAGAUUAGCUAGUUGGUGGGGUAAAGGCCCACCAAGGCGACGAUCUGUAACUGGUCUGAGAGGAUGAUCAGUCACACCGGAACUGAGACACGGUCCGGACUCCUACGGGAGGCAGCAGUGGGGAAUAUUGGACAAUGGGGGCAACCCUGAUCCAGCCAUGCCGCGUGUGUGAAGAAGGCCUUUUGGUUGUAAAGCACUUUAAGCAGGGAGGAGAGGCUAAUGGUUAAUACCCAUUAGAUUAGACGUUACCUGCAGAAUAAGCACCGGCUAACUCUGUGCCAGCAGCCGCGGUAAUACAGAGGGUGCGAGCGUUAAUCGGAAUUACUGGGCGUAAAGCGAGUGUAGGUGGCUCAUUAAGUCACAUGUGAAAUCCCCGGGCUUAACCUGGGAACUGCAUGUGAUACUGGUGGUGCUAGAAUAUGUGAGAGGGAAGUAGAAUUCCAGGUGUAGCGGUGAAAUGCGUAGAGAUCUGGGGGAAUACCGAUGGCGAAGGCAGCUUCCUGGCAUAAUAUUGACACUGAGAUUCGAAAGCGUGGGUAGCAAACAGGAUUAGAUACCCUGGUAGUCCACGCCGUAAACGAUGUCUACUAGCCGUUGGGGUCCUUGAGACUUUAGUGGCGCAGUUAACGCGAUAAGUAGACCGCCUGGGGAGUACGGCCGCAAGGUUAAAACUCAAAUGAAUUUGACGG